GGGGUUUCAGGCCGUCAAUUUUGCCCUAUUCAGGUUCGGUCUCCUCCGGGAUAGUGUACUCCGCUAUAAAAUCUGCCAAUAUCUGAGCUUUCACUACUGGUCUGGGUCGAUAGUUGAUGUCGAAUUCUGUGAGCUCGAUCGUCCAUUUCGCCAUCCUCCCGGAGGCAUCUGCCCGGUGCAGAAUCACCUUAAUCGGUUGGUCGGUGAGCAAUGUUACGGUGUGCCCUUGAAAGUAGGGUCGGAGCCUCUGGGCUGCAACCAACAGGGCGUAAGUUAG
rnacentral:lncRNA from 1 species